rnacentral:rRNA from 1 species
UACGUAGGGUGCGAGCGUUAAUCGGAAUUACUGGGCGUAAAGCGUGCGCAGGCGGUUUUGUAAGCCAGAUGUGAAAUCCCCGGGCUUAACCUGGGAACCGCAUUUGUGACUGCAUAGCUGGAGUACGGCAGAGGGGGGAUGGAAUUCCGCGUGUAGCAGUGAAAUGCGUAGAUAUGCGGAGGAACACCGAUGGCGAAGGCAGUCCCCUGGGCCGAUACUGACGCUGAGGAGCGAAAGCGUGGGGAGCAAACAGG